AUGUUGCCCUGAUGCCCUGUCUCUUUCCCCAGAUCGGGCCCAGCACAGGCAGCGUCAGUGCAAACUUCCCCCACCCCGCCUUCCACCCAUGUGUGUCAACCCUGCCCCUGGAGGGACCAUCUCUCGAGGUAAGGGAGGAACCAUGCCUCUCGCAACAGCUUGGUCCA
rnacentral:sRNA from 1 species